AUUCAGCAGCAGCCCAUUUGGCGUCGGCUUCCUGCACGAUGAUGGCUGGCUCAUUGUUUUCUGCCUUCUGUUUAAAGCAGGCAACGAUGGCAGAGACGGAGGAGACAUGACCAAUCCCAUGGUACAAAUGAUGAUGUGCUACCCCUGCGAGGACGACGCAAACAGACGGGCCUGAGUGUUGUCUGCUCCGUGUCGGACGACAUCUGCACCACUGCAACCUACGCUAAAGCCAAGUUUUCUCAAAGGAAUAAAUAUCUCAGGAACAUUA